GCGAAGGGGGCGCAAUUGGUAGACGCGCUAGCUUCAGGGGUUAGGGCCCUUAGGAUGGGGGGGUGCGAGUCCCCCCCCUCGCACCA
rnacentral:tRNA from 1 species